AAAUUGAAGAGUUUGAUCAUGGCUCAGAUUGAACGCUGGCGGCAGGCCUAACACAUGCAAGUCGAACGGUAACAGGAAGCAGCUUGCUGCUUCGCUGACGAGUGGCGGACGGGUGAGUAAUGUCUGGGAAACUGCCUGAUGGAGGGGGAUAACUACUGGAAACGGUGGCUAAUACCGCAUAACGUCGCAAGACCAAAGAGGGGGACCUUCGGGCCUCUUGCCAUCAGAUGUGCCCAGAUGGGAUUAGCUUGUUGGUGAGGUAACGGCUCACCAAGGCGACGAUCCCUAGCUGGUCUGAGAGGAUGACCAGCCACACUGGAACUGAGACACGGUCCAGACUCCUACGGGAGGCAGCAGUGGGGAAUAUUGCACAAUGGGCGCAAGCCUGAUGCAGCCAUGCCGCGUGUAUGAAGAAGGCCUUCGGGUUGUAAAGUACUUUCAGCGGGGAGGAAGGUGUUGUGGUUAAUAACCGCAGCAAUUGACGUUACCCGCAGAAGAAGCACCGGCUAACUCCGUGCCAGCAGCCGCGGUAAUACGGAGGGUGCAAGCGUUAAUCGGAAUUACUGGGCGUAAAGCGCACGCAGGCGGUCUGUCAAGUCGGAUGUGAAAUCCCCGGGCUCAACCUGGGAACUGCAUUCGAAACUGGCAGGCUUGAGUCUUGUAGAGGGGGGUAGAAUUCCAGGUGUAGCGGUGAAAUGCGUAGAGAUCUGGAGGAAUACCGGUGGCGAAGGCGGCCCCCUGGACAAAGACUGACGCUCAGGUGCGAAAGCGUGGGGAGCAAACAGGAUUAGAUACCCUGGUAGUCCACGCCGUAAACGAUGUCUACUUGGAGGUUGUGCCCUUGAGGCGUGGCUUCCGGAGCUAACGCGUUAAGUAGACCGCCUGGGGAGUACGGCCGCAAGGUUAAAACUCAAAUGAAUUGACGGGGGCCCGCACAAGCGGUGGAGCAUGUGGUUUAAUUCGAUGCAACGCGAAGAACCUUACCUGGUCUUGACAUCCACGGAAGUUUUCAGAGAUGAGAAUGUGCCUUCGGGAACCGUGAGACAGGUGCUGCAUGGCUGU
rnacentral:rRNA from 1 species